UAGGGAAUUUUCGUCAAUGGGCGCAAGCCUGAACGAGCAAUGCCGCGUGAACGAGGAAGGUCUUCGGAUCGUAAAGUUCUGUUGAAGGGGAAAAAGAGCGGAGAGAGGAAAUGGUCUCUGAUUGAUAUUACCCUUCGAGGAAGUCACGGCUAACUACGUGCCAGCAGCCGCGGUAAUACGUAGGUGGCGAGCGUUAUCCGGAAUGAUUGGGCGUAAAGGGUGCGUAGGCGGCCUGCUAAGUCUGGAGUGAAAGGUACCGGCUCAACCGGUACAGGCUCUGGAAACUGGCGGGCUAGAGAGCAGGAGAGGGCGGUGGAACUCCAUGUGUAGCGGUAAAAUGCGUAGAUAUAUGGAAGAACACCAGUGGCGAAGGCGGCCGCCUGGCCUGUUGACUGACGCUGAGGCACGAAAGCGUGGGGAGCAAAUAGG
rnacentral:rRNA from 1 species